rnacentral:rRNA from 1 species
ACACAGGUGCUGCAUGGCUGUCGUCAGCUCGUGUCGUUGAGAUGUUGGGUUAAGUCCCGUAACGAGCGCAACCCUUGUCCUUAGUUACCAGCACGUUAUGGUGGGCACUCUAAGGAGACUGCCGGUGACAAACCGGAGGAAGGUGGGGAUGACGUCAAGUCAUCAUGGCCCUUACGGCCUGGGCUACACACGUGCUACAAUGGUCGGUACAAAGGGUUGCCAAGCCGCGAGGUGGAGCUAAUCCCAUAAAACCGAUCGUAGUCCGGAUCGCAGUCUGCAACUCGACUGCGUGAAGUCGGAAUCGCUAGUAAUCGUGAAUCAGAAUGUCACGGUGAAUACGUUCCCGGGCCUU